rnacentral:rRNA from 1 species
CCUACGGGAGGCAGCAGUCGGGAAUAUUGCGCAAUGGAGGAAACUCUGACGCAGUGACGCCGCGUGCAGGAAGAAGGUUUUCGGAUCGUAAACCUCUGUCAGCAGGGAAGAACGGUCACUGUGCUAAUCAGCAGUGAAUUGACGGUACCUGCAAAGGAAGCACCGGCUCACUCCGUGCCAGCAGCCGCGGUAAUACGGAGGGUGCGAGCGUUAAUCGGAAUUACUGGGCGUAAAGCGCUCGUAGGCGGUAUGUCAAGUCAAGGGUGAAAUCCCCGCGCUCAACGUGGGAACUGCCUUUGAAACUGGCAAACUGGAGUGUGUGAGAGGAGAGUGGAAUUCCAGGUGUAGGAGUGAAAUCCGUAGAUAUCUGGAGGAACAUCAGUGGCGAAGGCGACUAUCUGGCACAUAACUGACGCUGAGGAGCGAAAGCGUGGGUAGCAAACAGGAUUAGAUACCCGUGUAGUC